rfam:Lactobacillus johnsonii NCC 533, complete genome.
UAAGCGUGAUGAUGGUGGCUUUUGCCUAGUCUAGCUUAGAUGUUAAAUCAUCCCUCUUUGUGGAUGAUUU